UACGUAGGGGGCAAGCGUUGUCCGGAAUCAUUGGGCGUAAAGAGCGCGUAGGCGGCCCUGUAAGUCCGCUGUGAAAGUCAAGGGCUCAACCCUUGGAUGCCGGUGGAUACUGCAGGGCUAGAGUCCGGGAGAGGCGAGUGGAAUUCCUGGUGUAGCGGUGAAAUGCGCAGAUAUCAGGAGGAACACCGAUGGCGAAGGCAGCUCGCUGGGACGGUACUGACGCUGAGGCGCGAAAGCGUGGGGAGCAAACAGG
rnacentral:rRNA from 1 species